AUCCAGAAGACGUGUCACAAAUAGGACGAAAUGCGCAUCCUGGAU
rnacentral:hammerhead_ribozyme from 1 species